rnacentral:rRNA from 1 species
GUGAGGAAUUUUCCGCAAUGGGCGAAAGCCUGACGGAGCAAUGCCGCGUGAAGGAUGAAGGCCUAUGGGUUGUAAACUUCUUUUCUCAGAAAAGAAUUAUGACGGUAUCUGAGGAAUAAGCAUCGGCUAACUCUGUGCCAGCAGCCGCGGUAAGACAGAGGAUGAAAUCGUUAUCCGGAAUGAUUGGGCGUAAAGCGUCUGUAGGUUGUUUAAAAAGUAUUCUGUCAAAGAUUAGGGCUUAACCCUAGAUAGGCAGAAUAAACUUUUAAGCUAGAGUUUGGUAGAGGCAGAGGGAAUUCCCGGUGGAGCGGUGAAAUGCGUAGAUAUCGGGAGGAACACCAAAGGCGAAGGCACUCUGCUGGGCCAAUACUAACACUAAGAGACGAAAGCGAGGGGAGCAAAUGGGAUUAGAUACCCUAGUAGUCC